rnacentral:rRNA from 1 species
CCUACGGGUGGCAGCAGUGGGGAAUAUUGGACAAUGGGCGAAAGCCUGAUCCAGCCAUGCCGCGUGUGUGAAGAAGGCCUUCGGGUUGUAAAGCACUUUCAGUGGGGAAGAAAGCCUUGGGGUUAAUACCCUCGAGGAAGGACAUCACCCACAGAAGAAGCACCGGCUAACUCCGUGCCAGCAGCCGCGGUAAUACGGAGGGUGCGAGCGUUAAUCGGAAUUACUGGGCGUAAAGCGCGCGUAGGCGGUCUGAUAAGCCGGUUGUGAAAGCCCCGGGCUCAACCUGGGAACGGCAUCCGGAACUGUCAGGCUAGAGUGCAGGAGAGGAAGGUAGAAUUCCCGGUGUAGCGGUGAAAUGCGUAGAGAUCGGGAGGAAUACCAGUGGCGAAGGCGGCCUUCUGGACUGACACUGACGCUGAGGUGCGAAAGCGUGGGUAGCAAACAGGAUUAGAUACCCGAGUAGUC